CAGAUAGCUCGAGGGAAGGUGCUCUCACGAAUCGCACCUUCCUAUUUCGACAAAACGUUCAAGAACUUCAGGUUAGUCCACGAGUAUCUACAUUGAGAAGUCAUCAAGAUUUUCGUGUGCUAGCAACGUUUUGUGUUGAUCCUUGGACUCUUACCCUCAACAGCGCUAUCUGGUUAAGUUCUAAAGUGAAGGCGGCCAAGAUCGGCGUUCGAAUCGGAGUUUAAAGAUAACGUGAUUUUCGGAGAGAGAAGGCAUCGCCGCCACGCGUCAGCCGCCGUACGGAGGAGCGCGGUAGGACCGACGACCGACACGUGGCGACCGCGGGCUGGGGAAACGCAUCAGGCGUGCGCAACCAGGUCGGCCCGAGUCUGAACCGGCGCUCCGCACGCGAACCGAACUGCCCGAGACCGCUCUGACCUGUCCGAACCGACCCGUCUCGACCCGCAACUGCACAGAAAGAAGCACGUAAAAAGCCGCGCGUAAAACACCCUCUAGAGCGCGUGCAGGCGCGUGUAGGCGCGACCUGUCAAGGAAAUUCCAGAAUUUUUGGAACCUUUUCCGGCAAAUAAUUCGAGCUUGGGAAGGCACGCGUCAACCAAGUAAGUAGCCAUUUGGAUUCCCACGAGCAGUACUUGUAGGAACCGCUAGGAACAAGCAUGCAUGCUACCACCUAUGAAAUUAGCUAGCCGGACUUAGCGUGUUAUUAUAGAAACUGCGAAUAUAAGAUGAUUAUGGAAAGCUAGAUACAAAAUGUGUAUUAAAUC